rnacentral:rRNA from 1 species
UACGUAGGGUGCAAGCGUUGUCCGGAAUUAUUGGGCGUAAAGAGCUCGUAGGCGGUCUGUUGCGUCGGCUGUGAAAACCCGGGGCUCAACUCCGGGCCUGCAGCCGAUACGGGCAGACUAGAGUUCGGCAGGGGAGACUGGAAUUCCUGGUGUAGCGGUGAAAUGCGCAGAUAUCAGGAGGAACACCGGUGGCGAAGGCGGGUCUCUGGGCCGAUACUGACGCUGAGGAGCGAAAGCGUGGGGAGCGAACAGGAUUAGA